UACGGGGGGGGUAAGCGUUGUUCGGAAUUACUGGGCGUAAAGCGCGUGUAGGCGGCCCUGCAAGUCGGAUGUGAAAUCCCACGGCUCAACCGUGGAAGUGCAUUCGAUACUACCGUGCUUGAGGACUGGAGAGGAGACUGGAAUUUACGGUGUAGCGGUGAAAUGCGUAGAUAUCGUAAGGAAGACCAGUGGCGAAGGCGGGUCUCUGGACAGUUCCUGACGCUGAGGCACGAAGGUCAGGGGAGCAAACGGG
rnacentral:rRNA from 1 species